CACACUUGGCUACUGUCACCGUGCCAACGCCGGCGGGGCUGCAAGCAGGGCCGCUCUGAGCGAGCAAGGGAGCCCAGAGCCGCUGUUGGCCCUGCCCACCAACUGGUCAGAGGGAAGGUGAGCUCCAGAAGGAAAGGGAGCUCGUCCACAGCUUUCUCUCUGUAUCUCCUGUGACUUGAAUGGACUCAGCACACAGCAGGCCUGAGUGAAGGAUGCUUGUGUUUGCUAUGGCUUACAUGACAACGAAUUGUCUGUGAUCCUACAGGACUGUGGCACAUGAGAGCUGGAAGCGCUUCUUCCCGACUGCAUCGCCCAGCACCAGAGCCUGAGUUCUGUAAAGCUCUGUUAAAGGCACGUGAGCUGUGCUGGCUUCAACUGCCCUGAACUUGGAUAAGCUGGGCCGCUGACGGCCCCUUCCCAACCAGUUGUUGCUGCCUUGGUUUCCCGACGGCCCACUGUGCUAACCCUGCCGCAGGGACUCCCAGCUUUGUAUCAACUCCAUUCAACACCUACUGUGUGCAAGGACCAGAGGGUGUGGAGGUGGCAUUCCCUGCUUUAGCUUGAUAAGUAAACAUUUGUCUCCCGCCCACUCAUCAGUGAAGCAGAACAACUCCCUAGCAAUCUCCUGGGAGCCACCCCUCCAGAACCUCUGGAUGUGGACAGACAUCAUCUCCUUCUAGGAUUCAGCCAGCACAUGUGUAGACUGCAGCUGCAAGAUGGUCAUCAAAUGAAAGGAGUCCCUGGAGAAACUAUUACCUGGUCCCCAGAGGAGUUAACCUGACUGCCCAAGUUCACCAGUCGGCAGCCUAGCGUGUCACCUUAAAAUUCAGUUCCAAAAGAUGGGCUGACUUCUCAUUUUAGAGAUGAAGACAGAGAGGCCCAGAGAGGGGCAGAGAUUCAUCCAAGGCAGAACCAGGCAGAACCAGGUAGGAGAAGAACCUGGGAGGGAGCUCUGCUCUGCCAGCCACCCGGUGCUGUUUCUCACACCUCAUCAUAUGAGUGUAAAGUCCUGCUUGAUGGAAAUAUGUGUCAUAUAUUGUCAUUUGUUCUUCUCAGUUGCCAUGGUUACUCUCUUUAAUUGAUGAGGAAGUUGAGGCACAAAUUGGGCUAGGAAACUUGCUGAAGGUCCCAUGGGCAGUAAAUGACAAAGCUAGGGUGAGAAUGAUCCUGAGAUGCUGCUCCCACCGACAACUGUGAACCAAUAUGAGGGCUCCGUCUCCCUCCCAGGGGCCUUGCUAGCCCAGGGCUGCAGACUCUUCCCAGCCAGCCACCCACCCCUGCCCUGGAGAGUUAGGCCCGACCGACCACGCCAGCUCGGGGAACGUAACAAAGGCCACACGGAGGACAGAGUGGCCCGGCAGCGCCUCUAUGGACGUGCGACGCAGACAUCACAAGAUGAUUUAUGUAACCUCUUACAUAAUGGCAGUAUUUCUAGCAAAGACCAGCCUGCGGCAGGCUGUCAGCCGUAAUCAGAGUGGACGUGCUUCUUGCUUCCUGGGAACAGGAGGCACCAGGUCAAAGCCAACCCCUUUGGCUGCCAGGCCGAGGGCUUCCUGUGCUGGUGAAGUUGCCUGGUGUGGCUGUGCCCUCAGAGGAGGCAGAGACCUUGCAUUGCCCCAGAGUAGUCACAGCCCGGCUCAGCCAGCCCCAGCACCCCUGGCUGCAGUCCACCUCCAGUGACAGAAACCACUAUCAGUGUGAUCAAGGUCCACAUUGGAAGUGCUUUCAACCAUAUUAUUGUACCAUGAAAGGGAGACUGGCUUUGGAGAUGAGAUCUUUGAGCUCUGCCCCUACCUGGCUGUGUGAUCUUGAGGUAGUCACUCACCCUCUCUGGGCCUCAGUUUCCUGGUUGAAUUACAUCAUCAAUUCUCGACCUCUGUGCUGCACACAUGGAUAUUGAUAUGGUGCUAUCAUGUGAUACAGUGCUAUAUGAUAGCAUGCCACAAGUCGGUGCUACUUAUAUUUGGCAAAUGAUUUGGUUUUUCCUAGUAUAAAUCAGAGCAGAUUCAACAUCAUAAAAUCAGAUGUCCUCUUUGGCAACAAGAAAGACUUAUGUGGGACUUUCUCGGCAACAAGAAGACCCACGUGGGACUUCCCUGGGGAGUUGAUAAUGCUCAACAAGUGGUUCUAAAGCAUUUAAUGAACACCUACUAUGUACAGGACAUUCUCUGAAGUGCUGGGGGUAGCAAAAUGAAUACGAAAUCCAUGCCAACAGCCUCGAAAAUAGUUUACUGACCUCUUAUUAAAUGCUAAUAAUGUUUC